GUCUUCUUCUUCUGCUUGGUGCAACAUUGGUUGUUACAGUAGUAGUUAAACCUUGGACGAUUGGUGUGGCAUUUCUUUUGGUUCUUCUGAUGAUUGUACUAGCAAUUAGUGCUAUCCACCAUUGGGCAUCAAACAAUUUAUUUACCAGAUUCAACAAGUCAAGUGCAAAAGAAAAUCUGAUUUGGAAGGCUUUGGUGUGCUGACAUUUGGAAGAUCAUGAAUUCUUAUCUUUACUUUUGAAUAUGUAACUGUUUAAGACUAUUUUGUUGACUAUUGUGAGAAUGUUUUGUUUAUGUUAAUUAGGCAGUGUUGAAUAUCUUAAGACUUUUGGAUUAUUUUUUAGAUAAUCUUGAAUGUAUUUUGACACAAUUA